rnacentral:lncRNA from 1 species
UCGCUGUUGUUGAUGCAAUCGAGCUUCCGUAGGUGCAGCAUCCUUCACAAUGGAAUGAACCCAAGAUACAUCUGGCUCAUCAGCAUCGGUUGGCAUCAUGUUCGUUGUUUCUGUAGUGGUGGGAUUGUUGUUUCGAAACCCGAAAGAAACAGACUUUCUAAGCUUGUUCAGCUCAUCUCCUUGAAUACCCCAAUCCAGUUUCCCAUCAGGGGAGCUCCAAUCAGAAAUAUUUGAAGACAUCAUAGUUUUUGAGUUAGCAGAUGUAGUAAGUCCAGCACGACCGAUCAUUGCUCCACGGUCUAUAAAACUCUGGCUCCGUUUUGCAAAUCCCGAAGACCUGGAAUUCAUUACUGCUGCAGCUACAGCAGCAGAUGAGUCAAAACCAAAGGCUGAGGGCUUCCUCACUGGAGAUGAUGAAAGGUUCGUUGGGUAGCUUGCACGGAGUUGGUUCAUGUUUUGGCGAGAUUGUGAUUGAGUUUGUGUUACGGAUUCUAUUGACAGUCCCUUCAACGGAGAUAGC